rnacentral:lncRNA from 1 species
GGCUUCCUUCCUGAACUACCCUUUCAUCUUUCCUCACUUAAACCACUUGCAAAUGCACUGUCUUGUUACCUUCUGUUUAUCCCUGUCACUCAAAGAACCAGGAUAUCAGGCACCCAGAAGAGAGAACAAAUUAUUUACUCCACCAGCUACUUAGGCAACCCCCAAGCAUUAGCGAAAAUAUCUUUUUCUCACUGUAUGCGCUAUGGAGACUUCAACAGGCAUCAGUGUGGAAGAGAUGAAACAAUUCCCACCUACUGAGGGGAAAGAACACAGAGCAUAGCGUCGUCUUGGUUUCCUCCAUGACAUGAUACAUGUUGGUCACCAUAAUGCCCCAGCUCAGUUAGGAGUUAGAAUCCAAAAGCAUCCCCACGAGGCAGCAGAGUGAGAAUGACCCAGGCUGACCCAUUUCAACAUGCAGAGUAGACGCACGGAAAGGCUUGGCUAGUUCAGUACACACUACCAUCCCCGUGAGAAGGCUGAGACGUUCUCACCCCAGAGGUAGGCUUCCUGGGGCUGUGGGAAAUGAUGAACUGUCUUAGGCUCUUACAGCACUGAGGGGAGAGAGUGUAAAAACCAGGGGAGAACGGAGAAGGUUCUUUUAAAGUGAUGAAGAUUAACAUGGAGGAGGACAGAAAUCAAGACAGGAAAGGAAGGAGAAGGUGCUGUGAUGUGAUAGGCCAAGGAUCUCUGCUGUCAACAUUCUAAAAUCUUUCCUAUCAGUUUUUUUGUUUUAUUUCUAUGUCCACAGAUUGGUUCCCUCAACUCCAUUCCAGUUCCAUGCUGUCAUGCAUGCCCAGCUGGAAAGCUAAGCUAGAAAGCUAGAGGUCACUUCCUCAGCUCCCUGACAGCCAGACUUUGGCACAGAAUCUGGCUCUGGCCAAGCAGACGCACUGACAUGACGUUAAGUCGGAGUUAAAACACACUAGGGUGGAGGCCGGGCGGCUGCUGUGGUCUCUGCUGUUUUUACUUGCAGAAUCAGUCAGGGGAAAGUCUGACUUUUCUGCACCACAGAUCAGAAAGUCCAAUUCCUGCUUUCGUGAGUGUCACAAGCCAGGGCAGGUAUCCAUUUAACCACUGUGAGUCACGGCAGGGACAAUGUGAUCCCAGAGCUGCAGCUGUGAGGUGGUUCCUGAAUGGGGCACGAACUACAGUAUUCCCAGCUGUCCAGCCACCUCUUGCAAUGGGCAGCCCCUCCCCCAAACAGAAACAGGUUCGUUCAUGCAGCAACAAAUAAACUCCCACUGCACAUUUUCACCUCUUUGUUACAGAAGCUAGGGCUCACCUUAACCUAGAAAGAAUCCAACAAAUAUUUAUUGAAUGAAUUUUGAAGAGGGAGAGGGAGAUGAAAGAAGAAAGAGGGAGGGAAAGCUGGAAAGAAUUGGAAAACGAUGGACAGAUAGAUGGAGACCGAGAUUAUUUUAAAGAAUUUAUGGGAUAAAUACUUUCCUGAAGUUUAGAAUUAUAACUACUUUAAUUAAUAAUAAUAUAUUUGAAUUUCUUUUCUAUUGAUUUUUCUGAAUGAGAGAAACACUUGUCCAAAAUGCCCAUCCUAUAGAAACUUAUAUUCUAACAUACCCCACAUUUUUUUUUUUUGUCUUUUCAAGGCCUCACCCAUGGCAUAUGGAGGUUCCCAGGCUAGGGGUCAAAUCAGAGCUGCAGCUGCUGGCCUAGGCCACAGCCACAGCUACUCCAGAUCCAAGCCUCAUCUGAGAGCUACACCACAGCUCACCGCAACACCGGAUCCUUAACCCUCCUAGCGAAGCCAGGGACUGAACCUGCGUCCUCAUGGAUGCUAGUCAGAUUCAUUUCCGCUGAGCCACGCUUCUUCCAUAAUACAUGAAGCUAAAAAUCAAAUGCAGACAUCAAAAUAACACAUAUUCAAAAGCUGUAGUCCUAUUUUAUUAUGUGCAUACACAUUACAAAGGUUGGAUAUAAUGCUUACGACAAUAUUUUUAAGCAGCAGUUCUCAUGGUGUGGUCCAAACACCUUCAGUGGGGGCCCUAAGAACCUACCAGGAGUGCCAUGAGGUCUCCCUUUUCCAAGUAUGUACCUGUGUAAGGGUAGAUUUUCUUCACCUACUUCAACCAUAGCAAUGUAUUCUAUCAGCCUGAACACAAGAGCAGAUAUGGGAAUCCAGCUGUGUCUAUUAAACCACACAUUAAAGAGAUUGACAAAGGUCACUCUCCUUGAUAUAAUUGUUUUAGGAAAUAGUUAUGUUUCAUAAAAAUAUCUUGUUUAUAUUAACAUAUGAUGGGUACUAUUCCUUUUAAAUGAGCUUGUACUUUUAAUCUUCUCAAAUUUCUAAGAUGCUAAGUGUUGAUAUAUCUAGCCAUGUAAACCAAAGCUCUUUGGGGUCCUCAAUUUUUAAGAUCUCUCUUUUAACUAAAGAAAUCAGCAAAAUUCUCUAACACUGCCAGAAUUUCUUCUAAUAAAUAAUACAUCAUAUUACAUUUGACCAGCAUUCUUCAUAUAUAAAAUACUAGGCGGCCUUUCUAAUCCGUAUAGUAGAAAAAACAUGGUAUUAAAGACAUGGGUUUAAAUACCAGUUCCACAACUAUUAGCUGUGGGGACAUCUGGUCCUUAUCAUUCUCACUUAUACCAAUAUGACAAACUCAACAGUAAGCGUAUCAAACCUAAAAUCACUGCAUUUUGCAAGCAUUCUUGAACAUUUAAUUAUCCAAGAUUAUACAGUGAUUUUUAUAUAAUUACAUACAUUAAUUCAAUUAUCAGAGAGUGUAUUUCACAGCUAACUCACUGUUUGGUUUAUACAUUUUGCAGUAGCAGUUUCUUAAUAAAAUGCUUAUUUCGGAGUUCCCGUUGUGGCACAGUGGUUAACGAAUCUGACUAGGAACCAUGAGGUUGCGGGAUUGAUCCCUGACCUUGCUCAGUGGGUUAAGGAUCCGGCGCUGCCAUGAGCUUGGUAUAGGUCGCAGACACAGCUCGGAUCCCAGCAUUGCUGUGGCUGUGGCACAGGCCAGUGGCUACAGCUCUGAUUAGACUCCUAGCCUGGGAACCUCCAUAUGCCACAGGAGCGGCCCUAGAAAAGCCAAAAAAAAAAAAGCUCAUUUGUUCAAAUGUCUGCCUUGAUCCAAAGAUUUCUUUCUCAGGAAAAUUCUGGUGUUGCCUAAGGACACUCCUUUCGGUGUAAAGCGUUCAUCUAUGAGAGCUGUCUAGGAUGCUCAUCUUUAAUGGCAGAAUACCAACUUUAUCACGAUCUGUUUAUCAGGCACCCCAAAACCAAAAACCAGCUCUCCAUUACUAACUCUAUGAUACGCUCUCAAUGAGUAUGAUCUCAAUUUUUUUUGUCAUCCAAAUUCUACCGAAAGUCUUAUUAAGGAAAGCUAGGGUUUGAGAAAAAGGGCUCUAAAGAAAUAGCCCUCUUUUUUUUCCUCCCAUAAUCCCAAAAGGAGUUCCUAAAAUUUUUCAACACACUUGUUCAUCUGACCUUCAAAAUUUUUCACUUUAAGCUUGAACAGCUGUAAAGGUGUAAUUUCCGGUAUGUUGCAAAUAUUCUCAUUUUUAACACAACUGCACAUCUCUCUUUUAAGAGUACCAAAGGAAUCUGAAUUUCACAGCCAUUUGAUAUAAACCCUCACCUGUUUUCAAAAUACAGCAUUUAAUAGCAAGGAAAUUUACAGGGUUCACAUUUUUGUUUGAAUUCAUUAUAUCUCACUUCCACAUAGAGUUUUACCCUUAUAUAAUACAUUAUUUCUGAAAGUUUUUAUUGACCACCCUAUCAUAUCUACAAUAAAAUAUUUCUUAAAAUCUUACAAAUAAACUUUUUAUUUCCUAGGACUGUAAAGUUCAAACUAAAAAUAUAAAGAAAUGGAUGGGGCUAGAUUUUUUUUUUAAUUGUUCAUAGGUCUCUGAAUAUUACUUAUUGCUAGCAUAAGAUUACAAAUCAAUUUUCUAUCCUUUUCUCUUUUUAUGAAAGGACUGAGAAAACCUUGUUCACUUAAAUAAGUACAGCAUUUUGUUAGAAUAACAAUUAUUAAAAAUCACAAUUAAUCAUACAAAUAUUUUUUAAUAUUCUAUCAUCUGAUAAGUCAAUUACAUCUUCCCACAAGUUUCUCAAAAACAAAAAGCUGGAAACCAUCUGAGUUGCAAAAGAAUGUGUUACCUAGUGUUUAAGUAAUUCACUUUUUCAAUAUCAAUACCAAUAUUUCUAACAGAUCCUCUGCUUGAUGCCAGGGAUAUUUUCCACCCUGGAAAAAUGCACCAUAGUAAGAAGAGGAAUGGGUGAGAGGCCUAUCUGUAUUUCCUCUUGCAACAUCAAAGAGAAGUUGGGAGAGGGGAGUUUGUAAAGGAAAACCUCCUGGAGAGAUGCUUUCUCAGGUAAACCAGUUUCUCAUCCUCCCAAAGCCCAUUCAUAGAAAGGGCAUCUGUCAUACUUCCCAAAGCCCAUUCAUAGAAAGGGCAUCUGUCAUACUUCCCAAAGCUCAUUCAUAGAAAGGGCAUCUGUCAUACUUCCCCAAGCCCAUUCAUAGAAAGCAAUCAUAUGAAGAUCACCUCUGUAAACAUUAGAAAACUACUGUUGGUGGCACAAUCAUCACAGCACUAAGUAUGCUCUCUAGAUCCUUGCUACUCAAAGUAUAGUCCUCAGAACAAAGGCAUCAGUAUCUGCGAUCUUGUUAGAAAUGCACAUUUGGGGGCCUCAUCCCAAAGCUACUAAAUUAGGAUCUGCUUUGACAAAAUCCCCAGGUGAUUUAUAUGUAGAUAAGUAUAUAAACACUGAUGUAAGGGGAUAAAUACUUUUUGAAAUUUUAAUAUAUAGAAACAAUUUAUCUAGAGAAGAAAUAGUGUUUCCUCCUUUCUGAUCAGAAGAAUUAGGUAACCCUCAUGCUUCUAUUUUUGUCCAUCUUAUUAGCACCAAGCAGUUUAUUUUGUAAAACCCUAAGGCUCCAACUAAAUAUACAGGAAACACAUUUCUUCCUCAUUAUCCUGGACUUGCGGAAUGUCCUUCAGUGUAUUCUCCCCACAGCUGUGAAAGUAGAAUCUAGUAACAGAUCUGACCAUGGCAGCCGCCUGCUAAAAAACCCUUCAAGUGUUUCCAACUCAAAAUAAAAUACACGUAUAUUAGGCCAUGAUUAUCAGGCCCCUGUUUCACUCUCUAGCCUCAUCACGUAACCACCUCUCAUUGCCUACCGUAAUUAUCUUUAUAGCUUCCUGCGUACACCAUGUGUGGUAACCAUCCAUUAUGCUGUUCCUUCCUAGAAUACCUUUGCCCUGUUUAUUCUCUGGCUAAUUUGUAUCUGUACUUCCAGGACCAACUCAAGCAUUUUCUCCCCCAGGAAGCUUUCAGGUAUGUGCGUGCAUGCACACACAACAGAUAAAGUUUCUUUUCUUUGUACUCCCCACAGCACUUAUUUUAUAUUCAAUAAUCUGUCUCCUUAAAUAGACAAGAACCUCCUGCAGGGACUAACAAAAUUAAUGGCAUGAAGCAAGUG